rnacentral:rRNA from 4 species
UACGAAGGGGGCUAGCGUUGCUCGGAAUUACUGGGCGUAAAGGGAGCGUAGGCGGGUUAUCAAGUUGGAGGUGAAAGCCCAGGGCUCAACCUUGGAAUUGCCUUCAAAACUGAUAGCCUAGAGUAUGAUAGAGGUAAGUGGAACUCCGAGUGUAGAGGUGAAAUUCGUAGAUAUUCGGAAGAACACCAGUGGCGAAGGCGACUUACUGGAUCAUGACUGACGCUGAGGCUCGAAAGCGUGGGGAGCAAACAGG